rnacentral:lncRNA from 1 species
AAUGAAUCUCCGUGAUUUGCCCAAGGUCACACAACUAUCUGUAACAGGUCUUUAAGGAUCUGAACCUAGCCCUUCUGAUCCCAGUUCCAAAGUUCUAAGGACUCUAUUGUUAGCCAAGCUUCACCUCUGGCCCCAGGUGUUCCCAGCAUGUACAAGGUUUUUUCAUGGAAGCACUGAUUCUGUCUCUGUUAAUAUUUUUCCUGUAGCACUAUUAGCAUCAUUUUUGGACGUCCCAAUGGAAGCAGCCAUUUGCAUUGGAUACUGUGGUACCAACAGAAUGAUCACAAAGAGGGAAGAUGAUAGGAUGAGUGUGCACAAAGACACUUGUGCAUGAAGGAGAUUUAAGUGGAAAAGUCGAUGCACAGAGACAGUCCCACUCUCUCUGCGUUGGAAGCCUGGGUCCAGUGGCACGAAAAGUCGUUACACCUGGA